rnacentral:rRNA from 1 species
GACAGAGGGGGCGAGCGUUGUCCGGAGUCACUGGGCGUAAAGCGCGCGCAGGCGGUAACCUUAGUGUCGUGUGAAAGCCCGCGGCUCAACCGGUGGAGACCAUGGCAAACUGGGUCGCUCGAGCUGCGGAGAGGCUCCUCGAAUUGCAGGUGUAGCGGUGAAAUGCGUAGAGAUCGGGAGGAAGGCCAAGGGGGACGCCUGGGGGCUGGCCGCCGACUGACGCUGAGGCGCUAAAGCGUGGGUAGCAAACCGG